GUCUACGGCUAUGCUACCCCUAACAUGCCUGAUCCCAUCUGAUCUCAGAAGCUAAACAAGGUCAGGCCUGGUUAGUACUUAGAUGGGAGACCACCUAGGAAGACCAAGUGCUGUAGGUG
rnacentral:rRNA from 1 species